UACGAAGGGGGCUAGCGUUGUUCGGAUUUACUGGGCGUAAAGCGCACGUAGGCGGAUCUUUAAGUCAGGGGUGAAAUCCCAGAGCUCAACUCUGGAACUGCCUUUGAUACUGGAGAUCUUGAGUUCGAGAGAGGUGAGUGGAACUGCGAGUGUAGAGGUGAAAUUCGUAGAUAUUCGCAAGAACACCAGUGGCGAAGGCGGCUCACUGGCUCGAUACUGACGCUGAGGUGCGAAAGCGUGGGGAGCAAACAGG
rnacentral:rRNA from 1 species